rnacentral:rRNA from 1 species
UACGAAGGGGGCUAGCGUUGCUCGGAAUUACUGGGCGUAAAGGGCGCGUAGGCGGCACUGUUAGUCAGGCGUGAAAGUCCUGGGCUCAACCUGGGAACUGCGCUUGAUACGGCAGAGCUAGAGGAUGGAAGAGGGUCGCGGAAUUCCCAGUGUAGAGGUGAAAUGCGCAGAUAUCAGGAAGACACCCGUGGCGAAGGCGGCUCUCUGGGACGGUACUGACGCUGAGACGCGAAAGCGUGGGGAGCGAACAGG